rnacentral:rRNA from 1 species
GACAGAGGAGCCAAGCGUUGUCCGGAUUGACUGGGCGUAAAGCGCACGCAGGCGGAUGCGCGCGUGGGGUGUGAAAUCUGGCCGCUUAACGGCCAGGCGCCAUCCCAUACGGCGCGUCUGGAGUGAUGCAGAGGUCGAUGGAAUUGCCGGUGUAGUGGUGAAAUGCGUAGAUAUCUGGAGGAACACCGGUGGCGAAGGCGGCCACCUAGCCCGCACCUGACGCUGAGGCGCGACAGCGUGGGGAGCAAACAGG